UCCACUUUUUCCUCCCUCUCUACCCCUCCCCAUCAUCCUCCUUUCCCUCUCCCCUCCCUCUCCUACUUUCUGUCUUCACUUUGGCUCUGUGCUAUUUUUAUGAAGAUGAGAAGUUUGCCUCAGGAUUGAUUUUCUUCUUUCAAGUUCCAGUAUUUAUAUUAAAGCUCUCGAUUUGGAUCAGUAUGUGUUGAUACUUGUCUUGCCUUACCUAUCCAGAUUGUUUUUUUUUUUCCCCCUUCCUUAUUGCUAAAUUAGGACAAUGGGUAUCACUGACCUCUUUUGUGGCCAGCCAGUAAAAAGGAUUAGGAUUUACAGGCCUCUACACAACAAGGUUAAGUUUUUAUUGUGCUUAUUGGGUGUGGCUUCUUUUCAGAAUGUGUUUAUAAAUGAUCAGAGUCCAGAUGAAAUGUUUGGGGAAGUGAGUAUACUCAUAUAUGAAUGAGCAUUCAUGACAUGAGCUUGGCCAUGUCAAGGACCCCAUUGUCUCAGACACAUGUGAAUGGCAAGGCCUUAUCUAUCCGGGGAAUGGUAAGCCCUUCUCUAUUUCAGGUCCUGAUGUUGAUAACCAGCAGAUCUUUAGCUCUAAAACAAUGUAUGUAGAAAGUAACCACCACAGCUUCCCCCUCACUGAUGACUGCAGCCCGGGAUAGCUCCCCAGAGACCCUCCCAAGAUUAGCUCCCACUUCCUCCCCAGCCGUUUGUGAUAAACAUGUCGAGUUUCAUUGCUGCUGGUGUAUCUCCAUCAGAGACCCCAGCCUCUCGGUAUGUGUGCCUGUCAUUUCUUGGUUUCUCCUUGCCCUAACAGAUCAACCCUAAUGUCAUACAGGUCGGGGCAAACAUCUUUGGAAGAGAAAAGGUGAAGAUGGGGGUGUGUGAAAGGGCACAGAAGGACAGACAACACAGACAAACAUGGCCCUGGAAGCCAAGAGAUGAGAACUAAAUCUCCUUUUGCAGCGCAGUAUCAAGCCGCCGGACUCAGAUUUUUACCAUCUGCUUUUACUUCCCUUCAUCCUUAAGAGAGCAUGAACAGAUCUGCUGCCACUACUGAAACCUCAUGUUUCACCGAGGGGGAGCAGCUGUGCUCCAGUUCUAAGUCUGAGAAAUCCCAGGACAGGCUCCUAUUGGCUCGGCUCAGCAGUUCUUCACAUCUUGAAUCAAUGGCUGGGCUAUGGGGCAGUCAAGUCUUCUGACCGACCGGCUACUCUCCUCCUCACAGUACAUUCUCAUUCACACCGUGGACAAGGAAAGGCUGUAAGCUUAGAACCCGGGAAGUGAGGAGCUGCUUUCCAACUGCCCUCAAGUCAACACCCCGGAACAGCCCCUUUGCUGACAAAAGCUGUGAGGUACUUCAGACGCCGCGUGGAAAUAAGGCGUGAUGUCUUUAAAAUGUUCAAUAACAUGCCCAACCUGACUGAUGAGGAAUCCGGUGGUAGUGGAAGAGAUGAUUCCUGCAGUAAGCCCAAAUCCCCUGGAG